UUCGGUUUCGUAACUGUAAUGAGAGGAUUUUAAAUCUCUCUAUCGAAAACAAUUGGAGGGCAAGUCUGGUGCCAGCAGCCGCGGUAAUUCCAGCUCCAAUAGCGUAUAUUAAAGUUGUUGCAGUUAAAAAGCUCGUAGUCGAAUUUCUGCUUAUUAACGGCCAGCUGUUUACUCAGCUUGGUAGUUGUAGGCAUCCUUCUAAGUCUCCUUAACGGGAGUAGCUUAGAGCCUUUACUUUGAGAAAAUUAGAGCGUUCCAAGCAAGCGAUUGCUUUGAAUACUACAGCAUGGAAUAAUAUUAUAGGACUUUUUGCCUAUUUUUUGGUUUAGGUUGGAAGUAAUGAUUAAUAGGGACAGUUGGGGGCAUUCGUAUUUG
rnacentral:rRNA from 1 species